GGUAGUCCACGCUGUAAACGAUGCUCACUAGAUGUGGGGGUAUCGACCCCCUCCGCGUCGAAGCUAACGCGAUAAGUGAGCCGCCUGGGGACUACGGCCGCAAGGCUAAAACUCAAAGGAAUUGACGGGGGCCCGCACAAGCAGCGGAGCGUGUGGUUUAAUUCGAUGCAACGCGAAGAACCUUACCUGGGCUUGAACGUGCAGUGACAGCCGGUGAAAGCCGGUCUCCCUUCGGGGGCACUGUGCGAGGUGAUGCACGGCUGUCGUCAGCUCGUGCCGUGAGGUGUUGGGGUUAAG
rnacentral:rRNA from 1 species